rnacentral:rRNA from 1 species
UACGGAAGGCAGCAGUGGGGAAUAUUGCACAAUGGGCGCAAGCCUGAUGCAGCCAUGCCGCGUGUAUGAAGAAGGCCUUCGGGUUGUAAAGUACUUUCAGUCGUGAAGGAAGGUGUUAAGGUUAAUAACCUUAGCAAUUGACGUUAGCGACAGAAGAAGCACCGGCUAACUCCGUGCCAGCAGCCGCGGUAAUACGGAGGGUGCGAGCGUUAAUCGGAAUUACUGGGCGUAAAGGGCACGCAGGCGGUUAAUUAAGUUGGAUGUGAAAAUCCCCGGGCUUAACCUGGGAAUGGCAAUUCAAGACUGGUUAGCUAGAGUCUUGUAGAGGGGGUAGAAUUCCAUGUGUAGCGGUGAAAUGCGUAGAGAUGUGGAGGAAAUACCGGUGGGCGAAAGGCGGCCCCUGGACAAAGACUGACGCUCAUGUGCGAAAAGCGUGGGGAGCAAAACAGGGAUUAGAU